UGGAGUUGGCUUUACCAGAGACAACUCCAAUCGGCCCACGGCUGGGGUCACAAGGUUGUCAUAGCUUGACCUACAGGUAAGAAACAGCCACGAAGUAUGUCAGUUCUCAGGUGCAACAACAGCGUCAGUGGCCGCAGAGACAGGUAACGUGGACAGCGCCGAUCAUAUCGGACACUGACCCUCCCAGCCGCCUUGAGUGAAGCGCGGUUUACAUCUUCAUUGACAGAUGGGGAAACUCAGGUACAGAGUUUAAAGAAGUUGCUCAAGAUCAUACAGCUCGUUGGAGAAGAGCCGGACUCUGACCACAAGCCGUCGGUCUCUAGCACCGGACUCCCAGCCAAGCUCAGUCUACAGUGGAGCCCAGCGUAAUCAACGCCGGCCCAUGGACCGAGUGGUUUCAAGAAACCAAUUAUGGGAAGGUGACAGCUCGGUAUCUGUACACGGACCGUCAAAUGGAGGACACCUUUUGACCUGAAGUCACAAUCAAGCAAAACUGAGGUUAUACAAAGCCCAGCAGGAGGGAGAGGGAGGGAGGGUGAGAAAAGGAGAACCAGCUCUGGAAGGGAAGACGCACUGCGCAGGAGAACGUCCGCCUCACAGACGACGAAAAUAUCCAGAGCCUAAGUAACCGACUUAUACUGGCUUACUCUAGACGCAGACUGGCUGGGACCACAAACUCAAAGGUCUGGGCCAUUUACAGGCACAAGCCUUUACCUGACUGCAGCCUGGCUCACCGGCACUACUUUCUGUACUGUUGCUUGCAGUUCUUCCCUGCCCGCGUCGUACCUGAUUGUGGCUCCUUAAUGCCCGAUGAUUUUCUUCUCUUGUCUUCCGGACUGACCCAGUUUCUCUCCGUCUCUGGCUGUCCCUGCACAGUCUGCCUUAGGAGCCCCUUCCCGCCUUCCUCCGGUGCCUACCCUCGGCUCUCCUCCCUUACACUCUCCCCGUACAAGCUUUUCUCCUCCUAUCCUGGGACAAGAACCUCAAGAUCUGGGAGUCAGUGGGUCUCUCAAUCUCCUCUUUCUCUCUGAGCUCCAGGUAAAAUUCCCAUCUGGCCUAGACGUCCUGGAAAAGUACUUAGCGUUUAGCAGGUCAAGCGGCUGGCACUGGCUCCGCCUUCACUCUAACCUAAACCACCACUCUGCCUCCUGGGUCCCAGUUUCAUCGAAUGGCAGCCGCCUACGCAAGAAAGCAUUUGUCACCUCCGAUUCCUUCUUCCACCGAUCACGCCCAGUGUCCUUCGUAAAACAUCUCAAAACCACCCACGCUUUUCACUCUGCCUCAGUUCAGCCUGCUUGGUUUCUUUGUUUUCUCUUCUUGCAUUGACACUAAAUUCCAUUUUGAAAUAUCAAUCUGAUGUUACCAUUACAGAGCUGCCCGACUGGAAACUUCCUAGCUCGGCACACAGGCCAACUAUUAUCUUGUCCCCGCUCUUACCCCUACCCCUAGUUUCUAUUCCAGCCGUACCAAACUUCUUCCUGUUCCUCACAUGGUCACUUGUGUAGUUCUACAUGGAAUAUUCUCCCCUUUUUUUUUCUAGCUAGUAGAACCUCACCUACCUUGAACAGACUGUGUCCUAAUGAGUAUAGGGAGAACCUACUGGCUUCUUCCUCUAAUGAUCACUUUACCUGAAUUCCUACUUACUCUUGCAGUUUGAAAAUUCUUAGGUUUAUUUUCUUCUUCUUCUUCUUC